CACUAGAUUAGCCCCAUGCAUUUUCUUUUGUAUUUUUGUUUUCUGUUUUGUCUUUUCCUUUUUGAGUAAGGUUUUUAGCUGUGUGGUUCCCUCUCCUAGCCUAGCGAGCGCGUCAGGAAGGUAAUUGAAUCUUUCCUUGGAGUUUCAGAGUCUCCCAGUACUGUGGGGUCAUGGUCCUGAGCAUGAAUUCUGAUUGUACAUUACGGAACUGAAAAUGGAGCUGCUAUCGGGGACUGGCCACCGUCUGUCUUGAUCCCACCUGGAAAUCGUUUCUUUUUUCUUUCUGUGAAAUCCUUAGCAGAACUGUUGGCUUCCUUGAUUUCUGUGUUGCAAGUAGCAAGUCAGAAAUUCAACUAGUUGUUCCAGGUUAGUGGAGGGUCUUGCUUACAGGAAAUUGUCAACCAGAAUCUAAAAUCUUUCUGUUUGUUUGUUUGCUUCUUUGAGACAGGGUCUCGGGGUGAUCCUGCUGUCUGGGCCUCCUGAGUGCUUGGGUUAUAGCUGUCUGCUCAAGUCUUCUUUCUUCUUUCCACGGAGCACUGCUUCUCAGCCUCCUUAACACUGGGACCCUUUAACACAGUUCCUCAUGUUGUAAUGACCCCAACCAUAAAAUUAGUUUCAUUGCUACUUCUUAACUGUAAUUUUAUUACUAUUAUGAACCCUAAUAUAAAUAUCUGAUAUGGAAGAUAUCUGACACGCAACCCCAAAGAGGUUGUUACUGACAGUUUGAGAACCACUGCUUUGAAAUUAUAGAAAAUGCAAAAUCCUGAAGUAUUCAGGGAGGCAGGUCUGUUUACAAGGCCUUUCAUGAGGCUUCCUCUCAUGCGAUAGGGGGGGAAUCACCCCUAACUUAACCAUUCCUUUGGGGAUGGUGGGAGCACCUCUUGGGCAGGGGUCUCCUGCACCUGGAAGGUUAGGAAGAUCCAAGGGUCAAGCAUGUAGGAAAGAACAUUUAGAGGCCCUAGGAGGAAAUCCUUUCCUAACUGUGGCCUUUGGGAGGCAUUUCUGAUGACAGAGCUGGCUCCCUCAGCACCGUCACACAAGUUAAUGUUCAUAAUUGAUAAUCUUCUGCAGCCUUCGAUGGCACUGUGUUUGCAUUCCUGGCGUUAUGAUACCCCAUCGUCAUCAUCGUUUGUACUAAUGGACGAUUUGUUUGGGAAAGGCAUCAAGGGGAUUGUUUAAAGAGGUUGUUACAGUAGAAGAGGAGGGUGCUGUGAAGGAUGAAGACAGCACAACUCAUUGUGGGGAGACUGGCUUUCAGCCCCAGCUUUUCCAUGCUGCUGCUGUCCAGGAAAAAAUCCCCCAUUGAUGGAGGAAUAGUCACCCCCCCCACACAGAAGGAAUUACAGGGAAAAAUUCCCCAUUGAUGGAAGAACAGCCCCCCCUGCCCCAGCAGAUUUUUAUGACAUGACAUGGCAUUGUUAUAAACUGUGCCACUAUGUCACAGGAGAUGCUGCAUUAAUGAUAGCGGAGGCAUUGUGGCUUCGUGGUGACGGGUUUAUCUACAAAACUUGGAUCCCCAUGACUGCCUGGGGAGUCCCGUACUCAUGGAUGCUCAGCAUGUAGGUUGUCCACACCUUCAAAGAUGGAGGAGAACCUGGGGCUAUCUCGGGGGGAGUUUCUAUCCAUUUUCCCCUGGGAGUGAGACAGAAGCGUCAUGACACACAGGCUGUAUUUCCUCUCAGGUAGAGGCGUCUUAGCUCUGUCUCUGGGUGUUGGCACUUGGGAUACAAAUCGCCUUAAACUGUUCUGAAGUAAGAACGAAGUUUCUACAUGCAGGCAGUGGUCAUGGUAGGUGAUGUCCUCCGAGAUACGAGGAAAGGGCACCACUUAGUGCCGGAUCCUCAAGCCCAUCAAAGAGGUUUGCACUGUUAAAAAUAUCUAGCUUACUUUGGGGGAGGAUUUGAUUGAACACUGAUGGAGUUUAUGAAAUAUGAAUAUAGUGAGUUGCUGUACGUAAGUGGUAGGCGUGUGUGAAAGAAGAAGAAAUAAAAUUGUGUAUAAAUGACACUCUGAAACUUGAUGGAAUUGAACACGUGACAGGAAUGGUGACGUGUGGGUCUGUGCUUCACAAAGGGAAAGACAAGCAGGCUGAAAAAAAUCCAUCUGUCAAACUUGAUAUGGGACUAGAAAUUAUAGAAUAGAAAAAUCAGUUGACUUGUUUUAUAGGCAAAGAAUAUCGCCGAGGAUAAACAGGGAGCUUGCAAAGAGUAGAGAUGAAAUUUCCAGAAAAUGGGGGAGGGGGGCAAAAAACCUAGAGGCCGGAGUUUGAAUGCAGAAUGAGGCACACUAAACCCUGUCUUCAGCAUUCUGGGCUAUUAACUCUUGUGGAGUUAGGUGUUGGGCUUGUAGUCCAACAAAAGUCACAACUCUGAAUUUUCAGUUGUGUGCCAGGAAUCACCUUGAUCUCCCCUAAGCAUAAAAAUAUAUGUAGCAGGACGCGAGUUGCACAUGACGCCACUUCCCUUGCCUUGUUCUGAUUAAUUGACAGCCUAUGCUAUAUGCUUCUUUCCUGAAGGUGACUUUACAGUCUCUAAGCACAGACAUGUCUCGCCGAAACGAAGGAAUGAGAAGCCACAAGCUAAAGUGUGUCUCACUGGGUGAGGUAUUUUGGUGGGCGGGAAAAGACCCAUGAAUAAGGGGAAAGGAAAGGUGAGAAUGGUUGCCCAUUUGCGCUGGGAAUUGAGGGCUGUGGAUGAAGGCGGGGACAGAGACACUGUGUGCGGAAGAGAAGGAAGUCGGCACUGACUCUGAAUUGUUAAAUUAUCUUUAACAAGGGCAAUGAAAAGAGGCACAUUUGACACUUUGAGAAGUGAUGGCCAACUUGCCGGGAAUGCCAACUGACAAAGGCAGUUUUAGAGAAAUGGACAAAGGCGGAGAAAAGGCAGCCAGAUGUGAUCCUGAGCCUCCAGAAGCAGAGAGCCUCUGUCAUCCCCUAGGAGCCGCAGCAGUCACGGACAGGAAAAAGCAAUUGGGAAACCCGAGGAUGCUGAAAAGGUCCUGAUCCAGCCUCUGCUCCACAGGGAUAGUGGUGCGCCUAGGAUAGUCUCUUUAAAAGUGGAGGGCAGCUGGGAGGAUGAACUGCCCGUAACUCUCUGUUGUCCAGGUAAUGGAGUAUAGCGAAAAGCCAAGCCAGAUAAAAGAAUUUGGUCAUCAAAAAUGAUUCCUCUGAUGGUGCUUGGAGUGGCUGGCUGAGGUGACAAGUAUGGGAUUGCUAAUUUGUGUUCCUUCACUCUGCUUCUCCCUCCCAAUUGGGGUGAGCGCACAUGGACAGGAUGUGAGAACCUCAGCGGUGUUCAGGACCCGAGCCCUUAACCCAGACAGUUUAGCAUUUCAGUCUCAGAGGUGGCAGCGCUGGGAGGGGCACAUUCAGUGAGAUUUCUCAAGACCCCACAGAGCCACUGGCAGAGUGGAAGCCACGCUGAGAGACUUCCUGAACAUUCUCCAGUUUUCCUUCGGACCUGAGUGUGGGGCUGUACCUGAAGCACGGAUGCGCACUCCGCAUGCUGCCGCUACCCCUGUUUUGUUAGGCAAAAUAUUAGCGUAAGAAGGGUAUCCCUAGAGCUCUCUAGCCCAGCUCCUCCCUGACAGUCUCAGUGGGGGUGAGGGUGGGAGUGGAGUGUUCUUAACACAGGGAAGUCUAUGAUUUGUUCCAAACGGAAAACACCAUCGUUCACCGCAGCCUACAGAGAACUGUAUCAUUUUUAUGUAAAAUGUUACAGCACGUGCGUUAAUGUGUAUUCAUACAUAUGAAAUACAGUUAUAUCAGCCAAUGAACUUGGUCCUACACAC